GAUGAACGCUGGCGGCGUGCCUAAUACAUGCAAGUCGAGCGAACGGACGAGAAGCUUGCUUUUCUGAUGUUAGCGGCGGACGGGUGAGUAACACGUGGAUAACCUACCUAUAAGACUGGGAUAACUUCGGGAAACCGGAGCUAAUACCGGAUAAUAUUUUGAACCGCAUGGUUCAAAAGUGAAAGACGGUCUUGCUGUCACUUAUAGAUGGAUCCGCGCUGCAUUAGCUAGUUGGUAAGGUAACGGCUUACCAAGGCAACGAUGCAUAGCCGACCUGAGAGGGUGAUCGGCCACACUGGAACUGAGACACGGUCCAGACUCCUACGGGAGGAAGCAGUAGGGAAUCUUCCGCAAAGGGCGAAAGCCUGACGGAGCAACGCCGCGUGAGUGAUGAAGGUCUUCGGAUCGUAAAACUCUGUUAUUAGGGAAGAACAUAUGUGUAAGUAACUGUGCACAUCUUGACGGUACCUAAUAAGAAAGCCACGGCUAACUACGUG
rnacentral:rRNA from 1 species